CUAUACUGUUGAUGUUCCAUCUUUGUGUCUUCAAAAAGUUCCGACCAAAAGGUUGGAAGUUGAGAUUAGAAGUUUGCCCUAGGAUUUCUUCUCCUCUUCUUCGCUCGCGCUGAGCCACCCGUCUCUUGGCACCGUCUCGGUUCGGCGGCUUUCACAGUUCAACGCGAUCCUCUCCCUCUUUCUCUGCGCCGUAAUAUCUAUGCCCUUCUCUUCUUUCUUACGGAAUCUUUGCCGGAAUUCAUAACAUUCGCUGGAAUAUUUGGAAUUUUGGCCGGAACUUUGAAAUCUCGCUGGAAUUUGUAUUGGACUUCUAGUUAUAAAAGAAAUUAUCCGUGGAAAGAUUUACUCUUUCUUCUAAAUUAUAUCUGGCAUUUCACUGUUUUCGGAGUUUUUCUUUAACUGGAGAUUCUCGGUUGAUUUUAUUGAUUUCCACAGUGGUUACACCAGGUUAUUGUUGAACAUCAGUGGUGAAUGUAAGUAGUGCUCAAGUUAUUACAGCUUGGACUGAUUGGAGACCAUGUUUCUCGAGAUUGAGAUGAAAUCCAAUGUCGUGGUCCCUCCUGACCAACUGUACCAGAACCUCUUACUCCACCGUUCCAUCAUUCUCAAGCUUCUUGAGGAUGUAGCACACAUCAAGGCCACUCAAAAGCAUGGUUACUUGGUUGCAGUGACUUCACUGAAGGAGCGUGGUGAGGGCAAGGUUCGUGAUUUUAGCGGGGAGGUGAUCUUCCCUGUCGUAUUCAAAUGCUUGACUUUCAAGCCAUUUGUGGGUGAAAUCUUGCAUGGUGUCAUCACCCAAAUUAUGAAGCAUGGUAUCAUUCUAAAAUGUGGACCAGUUGAGAACGUGUUCUUGUCCUUGAAGAAGAUGGAGGAUUUCAAGUAUGUGCAUGGGGAAAACCCCAUUUUUGUGAAUGACAAGAACCUAAAGCUAGAGAGACAUGGAGUGGUGAGGUUCAGGGUGCUCGCGUUGCAGUGGAUGGAAGGUCAAAGGGAGUUUAUGCUGCUCGCGAGCUUGGAGGGUGAUUUCCUUGGGCCUGUUUCAGGGAUGGAAAAUUCAGGGCUAGCUUCUAGCAAGUGCUUAUAGAUAGAUACUACUUACGGUGAUAAGCAACCAUGUUGUUGAAAUCUAAUGCUUGGGCUUGUGGACCCAACUAUGAGGAUUGAUGUUGGAGAUUUGGCUGUGCAUUUGAGCUACUGUGCACCAGGGGCAUUUGAUUGUUCCAUUAAAAGUGAUUCUUAUAAGGUAUUCUUUACUUUUGGAGAAACUUUUUAUUUGUUUGGCAUCGGCUCUUGGCACAUGAAUACUAGACAAAGCUUUGAGUCAUCAAAUGUCAAAUGUAAUAUAAAAUGGAAAAGUAUACGAUAACGUCUUUGUAUUAUUGGUACAAGAAUGCUACAACCAUCUUUAGCCAUUAGAUGUGCAAUUGGUCUGUUAAGAAGUGUUUUAUUAACAUGCCCAAAGUUCCAAAA